rnacentral:ribozyme from 11 species
UUGAAGCUUCCGAGGAAACAAAGGCUGAAGGGGAAACGCCACGUGUUCGAAAUCCAAUCACUGGCAGGUGGAUCGCCUAUGAAGGUAAGA